ACAAGCCGAUAUGUCUUCUCGUUUCUAAAGUCAUGUCUCUGUGGCAUGGUAUUUCACAGGGAACAGCAGAGUUGGUGUGAGAAGCGUCCCUGCCCUAACCCAAGAGGGACACAUUUAUCCCAGGAUUUUCUUUCCAGAUUGCAAACAUUCUUACCCUAUCUUCCCAGCACACAUGGGACACAAGAAGCUUCACAAGUGCUCAUUUAUAGCAGAUCAUGAAGAGCCCCAGGGAACUGUCUGAGCACCACUUCCUCCUAGAAACCAGACCCAGCCCUGCCCUCCUGACUCUGGUCUGCUAACAGGGACCUCACUUUCAUACCUUCUCCCUGGUGAACGAGCCUGGCGUGCGGGAUGUCAGUACUGCAAGCAGUCAGAUUCUUCUCCCUCUGGGCUUUUUGCCUUGGACAGUUAAAGCUGGAGCAACCUGAAAUAUCAAUUUCUAGGGCAAGGGAUAAGAGUGCCCAUAUAUUUUGUAAGGUGUCUUCUAGCACCUUUAGCACAGACUACAUACAUUGGUACCAGCAGAAACCAAAUAAAAGUAUAGAACAUUUAAUAUACGUUGACUCAACAAUCUCUGCUAAUCGAAAGAACGACAAAUUUGAGGCAAGUAAAAAUCCUCACACUUCUACUUCAACCUUGAAAAUAAAUUUCUUAGAGAAACAAGAUGAGGCCGUGUACUUCUGUGCCUGCUGGACUGACACCCACAACGCUAGAGUUGCCGAGAUUACUGCACAAGAACUGUCUUCAGUCUGUGCCCCCACACAUCCUUCUCAACAUAGGUGACCACAGAGGCCGCACAGCUGGGCACCCAGCCUGAGCCUCCCUCCACACAGAACUUGACUAUUAUUUUGACUGCAGAGAUUACUUAUAACAUAAAUGGUAUGCCUCAGACUCAAAGUGGAAAUCAUCAAGUUCUAGGAACAAUGUCUAUGAUAUUAUAUCUAAUGUAACCAUAAUAAUAUGUUUGCAAUGUAAUGAUCAUUUUUUCUACUUUACUUUUAAUAAUUUGAGGUUAGAGAGAGAAAAUUACUUUCAAAACCUGAAAUCCCACACUGCUUCAACCCUGUCAGGCCACCCUGAAGAUGUUCAGGUGUUUAU